rnacentral:rRNA from 1 species
GCCUUGAGGCGUGGCUUCCGGAGCUAACGCGUUAAAUCGACCGCCUGGGGAGUACGGCCGCAAGGUUAAAACUCAAAUGAAUUGACGGGGGCCCGCACAAGCGGUGGAGCAUGUGGUUUAAUUCGAUGCAACGCGAAGAACCUUACCUACUCUUGACAUCCAGAGAACUUUCCAGAGAUGCAUUGGUGCCUUCGGGAACUCUGAGACAGGUGCUGCAUGGCUGUCGUCAGCUCGUGUUGUGAAAUGUUGGGUUAAGUCCCGCAACGAGCGCAACCCUUAUCCUUUGUUGCCAGCGGUUCGGCCGGGAACUCAAAGGAGACUGCCAGUGAUAAACUGGAGGAAGGUGGGGAUGACGUCAAGUCAUCAUGGCCCUUACGAGUAGGGCUACACACGUGCUACAAUGGCAUAUACAAAGAGAAGCGACCUCGCGAGAGCAAGCGGACCUCAUAAAGUAUGUCGUAGUCCGGAUUGGAGUCUGCAACUCGACUCCAUGAAGUCGGAAUCGCUAGUAAUCGUAGAUCAGAAUGCUACGGUGAAUACGUUCCCGGGCCUUGCACUCCCCGCCCGUCAAAA